rnacentral:rRNA from 1 species
UAGGGAGGAAGGUAGUCGUAGUUAACACCUGCAUUAUUUGACGUUACCUACAGAAGAAGCACCGGCUAACUCCGUGCCAGCAGCCGCGGUAAUACGGAGGGUGCGAGCGUUAAUCGGAAUUACUGGGCGUAAAAGCGCAUGCAGGCGGCCUGUUAAAGUCAGAUGUGAAAAAACCCGGGCUUAAACCUCGGAAAUUGCAUUUGAAAACUGGCAGGCUAGAGUCUUGUAGAGGGGGUAGAAUUUCAGGUGUAGCGGUGAAAAUGCGUAGAGAUCUGAAGGAAUACCAGUGGCGAAGGCGGCCCCCUGGACAAAGACUGACGCUCAGAUGCGAAAGCGUGGGGAGCAAACAGGAUUAGAUACCCUGGUAG